rnacentral:rRNA from 1 species
AUGAAUCUGUUAGCCUAGAACUGUCGGGGAUUGGGGUUGACCCCAACAGUUGGCGAAUUACGGGAUCUGAUUAGGUCAUACAACCCAGCAGUGGUGUUCCUUUGUGAAAUGAAGAAGAAAGCCAGGGCCAUGGAGAAAAGAAGGUGGAGCCUUGGGUUCAAGUGUGGAGUGGCUGUGGACUGUGAGGGACGGAGUGGUGGUCUGGCUUUGUGGUGGAGAGAGCAUGUGAAUGUCACAGUGAGGCCAUGGUGCUAA